UAUCCCUGCCCUCAAGACUAGCCAUGCACGUCUAGUACAAACUAAAUGAUGGUGAAACUGCAAAUGGCUCAUUACAACGGUUAUGAUGUACCCGGGAGUUCCGAUGGAUAUCUCCAGUAACACUAGAACUAAUACAUGUCCCUGCGUUUAUUAGUUUCGCACAGUCCGUCGCUGAGUCAUGGUAAACAGUUGAUCGACUCGACGUCCCGGAACAGUUUCCGCCCCAUCAGCUUCGAUGGUUGGGUAUUGGCCUACCAUUGCAACAACGGGUAACGAGGAAUUAGGGUUUGAUUUCGGAGAGGGAGCCUGAGAAACGGCUACCACAUCUACGGAUGGCAGCAGGCGCGCAAAUUACCCAAUGCAGACACUGUGAGGUAGUGACGAGAAAUAAUAAAGCGGGACUUCUGUUUCGCUAUUAUAAUGAGGAGUAACCAAAGGUCAUUCCGAUUAGCAACUGAUGGGAAAGUCUGGUGUCAGCAGCCGCGGUAAUACCAGCGUCA
rnacentral:rRNA from 1 species